rnacentral:rRNA from 1 species
CGAUUAUCGUCGGCAUUUUUUUUUCUAUUUUUCUUAUGUUUUCUUCAGGUGAUGUUCAGAUGUUGGUUGUAUGGACCGUGUUUUAUUUAUAAAACAGGGUGAAAGCCUAUUUCGAGAAGAUAUAAGAUGUAUACUACUCAUAUCACCGUAUGUAAAAUUAUUUAUUUAUUUAAUCACACAACAUGUAUUUCUGCAAAAUACAUAUAUAAUUCUUCAAACAAAUUUUUCAUUUAAUCACACAUAGUAUAUUUCUGCAAAAUAAAUAUAUAAUUCACCCGCCAAAAAUACAUAUAUGAUUGUUCUACCAAAUAAAUAAUUUGUUUAAUCACACAUCUUAUACAAAAUACAUAUAUAAUUGUUCUAUCUUUUUUUAGAAGGAUACAUUUUUAAUUCUUCUUCUAUCAAAAAAAUGUAUUUCCGCAACACACAGGCACAUAUACAUGGGCCCAGCCCAACAGAAAAUAGGCUUGCAGGCCCGCUACUACCCAGGUCACCUGCCCCCAUCUCCUCUAUCGUUGUGAAGGAGCAGCAAGGGUUUCCCGAGUGAGGUCUUGAGAAGCGGCGUAGGGCGAUUUGGUGCGAGGAGAGAGAGGGGAUCCGACAUAGCAGCAGAAGGCGAUGGCAGGUGGCGUGGCUGGGGCUGGCGGUGGGGGCGGAGAGGGGGAGGGGGCUGGCGGUGGUGGCGGCGCGGGGGAAGAUGAGAUCGCCGUACGGUGGUGCGAGUUCUGCCGCAAGGACAUCGGAGGCUACGGCUUCUACUUCACGUACAUGCACCGGCCAGCGUGCAAGGCAGCGCGGGACAAGGAGUUAAAGCUCGCCCAGAAUCUCGCCAGGGGAUCAGCAACAAAGGAAGGACAAUCAGAGCCGGAAGGAUCGGAAGCGGUCUAAGGAGGCGAACAAGGGGACGGCCUCCUCCAAGGCCAAGUCCGAGAAGCCGGCCCACAAAUGAGGUACUAUAUUAGCGCCGAUCUGCCCUGUUCUUACGACUCGUGGCUUGGACAGUCAAAGAAUUUUGCAUCUUCCUCUGUAAUAAUAAAUUGAUUCGUCGGUGGUGCCUGUGCCUGUGCCUGUACCUGUGAUGCGAUGGCAUAUUGAGUGAAACCUGUGAUGCGACAGCUCUUUGAACUCUGUGAUGGAUGGAUGGAUGGAUACAGUAUAAAAUGUCCUACUUUCCGUGGCUAUGAUUUGAUAACAUUUGAAGUCUUCUGACUUCUGCAAGUAUGUGCUAUGGGUCAGGAUAAGGUUUUCUGCUGCUCACUUUGGUUGUUGGUCCAAAUCGUGGCCAUGGUUUGAUAACAUAUCCUGUGCUCUGCAAUGCCUAUUUGUCUGUCCAUCAAACUGUUUUUCUGUUCUCUGAAUAGCUUUCUAGCUAAACCUGCCAUUGAACAUUGAGAUUUUAAUGUUAAGUACUCCCUUUCUAAGAAGGGCACUCAAUUAAGAAAGUCAAGUAGACUUGCUUCUUCAUAAAUCAUGUGCAUGGAAUCCUCAACUGUGUGCUUCUGCCAUACUUUGACAAGAUGGUUACAACUAGUUUUGUAUUGCCAUCAUAAUUAAUCCUGCCUUCAAAUUAGUUUAAGCAUGCUGGUCUGUCUCAUCUGGGUUAGGCAAAUUGACCCUAUCAUGCUGGCCAGAUACUAUCUGUGCCAAAUUUCUGCUGCUUCAGAUAAUAACUGGUUGAUUUCUGUAGCUUCCUAACUAAAAAGCUCCUGUUCCUCUUUUGAAUAAAUAGAACCACUGAGGAAAAGUUGUGUUGCCUGGGCAAGGAAGUACUAGUAUAUUAUAGCCAGACACUGCAAAACUCACUGUUAUUGUAGGAAAAACCUUGCUGUUCCUCUUUUGAAAUUUAUAAGUCUAUCCUAUAGUCUGACACUGGAAAACUCACUCGUUUUUGUAAAGGAAAAGAAUAGGAUCACUGAGGAAAUUUCCUGUGUUGCUAAAGUCAUAAAAAAGAGUACACGUUUAAACAGGUUUUGAAACAUGCUAAAUUUCCUGUGUUGCUAAAGUCAAUCGAUAAGCAUCAAAGUUAUUAUUGCUUUUUAUAAAUUACAAUACACUGAAUACUGACUAGAACAAAGUAAAACCUACUUAUUAUAAACCUACAAAACAACAUUUUAUUUAGCAUGCUGAGCUCUCAUCCGGAUGAGAAAUAACUACUCCCUCCGCCUCAUAAUAUAAGACGUUUUUAUAAGGCUAGUCAUAGCGGGGAGUAACUUAGACUAGUAACAUAUGUAUGUUACCUCCAUAGUGGGAAGUGUCAUAGGUGUAGUAACAUGCAUAUAUACAUUUAUUGCUUUGUAGACUCGUUUUGCAUUGGAAAGCACUAUGUGAUGGUAACAUAUUAUGUUACUCCAUUUGUCUCUCUCCUCUUUAAUUGCAUGACACAUCAUCUUUUUUGCUUAUGUGGCAUGUAUGUUACUACUUAUGUUACUCCCACUAUGACUAGCCUAAGCUAAAAUAGCUUGCAAGAACGUCUUAUAUUAUAGGACAGUGGGAGUAUGUCUCAUCCAAUUCCUAUAUUAUUGGAUUUUACAUGGAGAUUCAUGGGGAUUUUUUAUUUUAUUUUUUGUUUGGAUUAAUCAAAUAGUGUAUUGAGUUAGAUGAGACUGUUAAUUCUCGUCUAGAAGAUAAUUAGCAAAUCCAUUUUAUUUAAGGGUGUUUCAUUCUGUUGGUUGGUGCUGGACGUGCAAUAGCAUCGUACUAGCUCUCAUGGGGACUUCUGUUCUUGGCUCUAUUUCUUCAUUAAGGUGGAAUGGCUACAUGGAGUUAACUAUAUUUUAUAGUGCUGCAAAAUAAAGUAGUUUUUUUAAUAUUAAAACAUGGUGUAUAGAACUUUUGUCCAACAUGUAGGACUUCUAGUGAGAUACACAGGAAAUAAACUACUCCCUCCGUUCCUAAAUAUAAGACGUUUUGGUAGUUCAAUUAGUCUUAUAUUUAGGAAUGGAGGGAGUACAUGAGAAAAGGAACUAUUUCAUAAUGCUGCUGAAUAAAAUAAUUUAUAGAAAAUAUCAUCUAUAUAAUUUUGGUUCAACUUAAAGAAGUUUGACUCAAGUACAAAUCUUGAAUUUCAGUUAUUUUGGAACAGUGGGAGUAGUCUCUAUAGUGGGCUUUACGAGGACUGAAGUAUUAAAGGGAGGACGCUUAUAACUUUGUUCUGAGGGCAUUGCAUUGAAUAAAAUGGGGAAUUGUUGUUUUUCAUUCAACACAGAACCUACUUAUUAGAAACAACCUGUAUUAACCGACUGUAUUAACCAAACACAUGAUCCUAAAGACCUAGUUCAACAGGAAAGCAUUAUGUGACCAAGAAAUAUCAUCAAUUAACAAAGUCAAAUGAAAUACCACUUAGGAGAUAUAGGUACAUUCAACAGUGCACCAGGGAAUGAUUGUUGGUCCCUCUUCUUCCUUGUUCUGUUUGAUCAACCAAAAGAACUGAAAACAUCAAUAUCCAAGUGCCCUCAAUCUAUUCACCGUAGAUUACACCUCUACCUGAACGGAUACUCCCUCCGUCCCACAAUAUAAGAUUGUUUUUCAAGCUAUGUUAGCUUGAAAAAUGAUCUUAUAUUAUUGUAGAACAACUUUUCAUCUUAAAAAUUGACUAGCUGAGGAUUUUCGCCCAAAAAGUAAUGGAAAAAAAACAUUAUGUCGAUCCACAAGUAAUAAAAAAACAUAUGUCCUAAAAAUAAAAAAAUUGCUGAGUGGAUGAGAUAUGUUGCCAAAGAACACAAUACCUUGCCCUUCCCUACGUUUUCAUGGAGCAACAAUCUUUUCACAUUAGACAGAAGGCCAACAGGGGGAAACUCCACAUGGUCCAAUUUCUAGAACUUGGCAAAUCAGAUCAUAUUAAGUAAAAAAACAUUGGCUUAAAGAUCAGAAGAAGUAAGUUAAUGUAAUACAGAUAAUCGGAGAGCUAGGAAUCUUUUCUCAAUUAUCACGUUUUCACCGAAAAAUUUGCAAGACAGGUCUAACUAUCUAGAUCCAUGAUUAUUGCAGAAACUGUUAUACCACUUAUUCAUAUACAAAGCAAAUAUAAGCUGGGUCACCGGUGUCCUACUUUGGCCCUUUGGACUUUGAUUGAGGAAGGCGUCGACGGGUAGACUCAAGCACCAGGAUCUGGAAUGCAGGGUACCUACUAGCUCCAAAGAGGCUUUUAUGAAUCCAAUAAAAAAUGAUUUUCGACAAAAAAAAGCUGCGGGUAUUUCGCAAAUCCGUAUAAUAAAAUUUGUUGGAAAUGACCGACUGGGGAAAGAGGGAUAAAUCCAGAUCAGUUUUUGCCCGAGGCCUACAAAUUCUGACGUACAAGAAAUUCAGAGACCACACUGCUGGCUUGCACUGGCUGCAUAAAGGUGCACAAGACAGCGGCGUUGAUCGGACAACUAAGGGAUUCGAGAGAGGCAGCUUCGGCUGCAACGUGGCCUUUUGGCCAAGCAAAGAUUGCAACUCUCGAAGAUGAAAAAACAAACGCGAGUCCAGAAGGAGAAAACCAAGUCGAAACUGACUGGACAUCGAAUUAGAAGACAAGUCUAACUAUCUAGAUCUAUGAUUUAAUAACCUUUUCUACUAGUUAUAUUUGCGAAUACUUCAUUCACCACCUCCAAAUCACAAACCAGGUCUGACCACGGAUGACUAGCACCAAUCAAGUUGCCCCUUGCAGAAAAUUUCUUCAGCGCACAAGACGGCGGCGGCGAUGGGAUCUGAGAGAAGCAAUCUUGGCCGAGAUGGUGAGCCAACAAACAUUGCAACUCUCGAUUUCUCGAAGACUAGAAAACAAACGAAGAAAAAACCAGGUCUCGACAGACGGAUCUAAGACAUGAGGAGAGGGCAAAACAGAGAGGAAGGAUGGAGACCACGACCCAGAUGUAAGUCAUACUAGUGAAAAAUCUGCUGGGCAAGGAAACGUUUGCGCAGAUCUGAAAAUACAGACAUAAUUCAUCACCUGACCAAGAGACCCUUCAAUCCUCUUCCCCGGCGCCGGUCCUCUCGUCAACUUGAGGCCUCCCCGUCGGCCGAGCUGUCCGGUGUGCCUCCCCCGCUGCUUCCAGCACACCGGAGCUUUCUCCGGAAAAAGAACGCCAUGGCCUAAUACAGAGGAUGCAUCACCAGCUUCAAGCGAGGCCCCCACGGUUGGCAACAAGGGACAUGGACGUAUCGCCGGAUCUAGUUGCGUGCAGGCCGCGAGACACGGAUCUCCUCGCCAGGAUCCACCCAAAGUUGAUCUGCCUCCCGAGAUCCGGCCGAGUUAGCCACAGACCAAGUGGAAGCGACGAGGGAGGGAGGCGCACAGUGGUUGAAUAAGAUGUAAGCAGAGGAAAGAAGGCUCUGAGCCAUGGCGGUUGCUUUUGGGAUGAGGGGCUCUGCCUCUGCGCAAGGAGAGGAGCGGAGCAGAC